GUGGGGAAUAUUGGACAAUGGGGGGAACCCUGAUCCAGCCAUGCCGCGUGUGUGAAGAAGGCCUUUUGGUUGUAAAGCACUUUAAGCGAGGAGGAGGCUACCGAGAUUAAUACUCUUGGAUAGUGGACGUUACUCGCAGAAUAAGCACCGGCUAACUCUGUGCCAGCAGCCGCGGUAAUACAGAGGGUGCAAGCGUUAAUCGGAUUUACUGGGCGUAAAGCGCGCGUAGGUGGCGAAUUAAGUCAAAUGUGAAAUCCCCGGGCUUAACUUGGGAAUUGCAUUCGAUACUGGUUGGCUAGAGUAUGGGAGAGGAUGGUAGAAUUCCAGGUGUAGCGGUGAAAUGCGUAGAGAUCUGGAGGAAUACCGAUGGCGAAGGCAGCCAUCUGGCCUAAUACUGACACUGAGGUGCGAAAGCAUGGGGAGCAAACAGGAUUAGAAACCCUUGUAGUCC
rnacentral:rRNA from 1 species